UACGUAGGGUGCAAGCGUUUGUCCGGAAUUAUUGGGCGUAAAGAGCUCGUAGGCGGUUUGUCGCGUCUGCUGUGAAAGACCGGGGCUCAACUCCGGUUCUGCAGUGGGUACGGGCAGACUAGAGUGCAGUAGGGGAGACUGGAAUUCCUGGUGUAGCGGUGAAAUGCGCAGAUAUCAGGAGGAACACCGAUGGCGAAGGCAGAUCUCUGGGCCGUAACUGACGCUGAGGAGCGAAAGCAUGGGGAGCGAACAGG
rnacentral:rRNA from 1 species